rnacentral:lncRNA from 1 species
AUGCUCUGCUAGAUCCUCAGUUAUACCAAGAAGCAGCCAAGCUUGAUGCCCCUCUUUGUAUUUAUUGGAGCUGGAGGUCCUGGAGCAGCAGUGUAUCUCUUGUGUCUGGCAUUGUUCAAUCCAGAUGUUAGUUGGGACAGAAAGAAUAACCCAGGGCCCUGGAACAAACUGAGUCCCAAGGAUCAAUACAAGUUCUACUCAGUGCAUAUGGAUUACAGCAAACUGAAGAAAGAAGGUCCAGAUUUCUAA